rnacentral:rRNA from 1 species
CCUGAACGCUGGCGGCGUGGCUAAGACAUGCAAGUCGUACGGGGUGGUAGCAAUACCAUCCAGUGGCGAACGGGUGAGUAAUGUAUCGCUAACGUGCCCUCCUGUCCGGGAUAGCCGUGGGAAACCGCGGGUAAUACCGGGUGACAUCAUCCUCAGGCAUCUGGGGAUGCUCAAAGGGAAACCGCAGGUGGAGCGGGCGAUAUCGUAUCACGCUAGUUGGUGCGGGUAACGGCCCACCAAGGCGACGACGCGUAGCCGGGCUGAGAGGUCGGCCGGCC